UUGCAUCAGGGAUUGAAGCGGCAUCCUUUUUUUGCAUCUGGAUAGAGGGAGAGGGAAAAAAGAUACAGCGGAAAGCCCGUGUCGGC
rnacentral:sRNA from 2 species